GACGAACGCUGGCGGCGCGCUUAACACAUGCAAGUCGAACGGACAGGCCCUGCUUUUGUGGGGUGCUCGAGUGGCGAACGGGGGAGUAAAACGUGUGUAACCUGCCCUUGACUUUGGGAUAACUUCAGGAGAAUGGGGCUAAUAUCGGAUAGGAGCUCCUGCUGCAUGGGGGGGGUUGGUAAAUGUCGGCGGUUGUGGCUGGUCUCGCUGCUUACCCGCUUGUUGGGGUGGUAGUGGCUUUCAACGUGUUUGACGGGUAGCCGGCCUUGGCGCUUGAACGGCUACAUUGGUACUGCGAUACGCACCAGUCUCCUAUGGGCGGCAGUAGGGGGGAAUAUGGCAGAAUGGGCGGGCGUCUGAGGUAGCAAUCCCGCGUGCGUGAUGACGGCCUUCGGGUUGUAAACCGCUUUCGCCGUAGACGAAGCGAGAGUGACGGUAAUGGGUAAGAAAGCCCCGGCUAACUACGUG
rnacentral:rRNA from 1 species